rnacentral:rRNA from 1 species
GAGUAACACGUGGGUAACCUGCCCAUAAGACUGGGAUAACUCCGGGAAACCGGGGCUAAUACCGGAUAACAUUUUGAACCGCAUGGUUCGAAAUUGAAAGGCGGCUUCGGCUGUCACUUAUGGAUGGACCCGCGUCGCAUUAGCUAGUUGGUGAGGUAACGGCUCACCAAGGCAACGAUGCGUAGCCGACCUGAGAGGGUGAUCGGCCACACUGGGACUGAGACACGGCCCAGACUCCUACGGGAGGCAGCAGUAGGGAAUCUUCCGCAAUGGACGAAAGUCUGACGGAGCAACGCCGCGUGAGUGAUGAAGGCUUUCGGGUCGUAAAACUCUGUUGUUAGGGAAGAACAAGUGCUAGUUGAAUAAGCUGGCACCUUGACGGUACCUAACCAGAAAGCCACGGCUAACUACGUGCCAGCAGCCGCGGUAAUACGUAGGUGGCAAGCGUUAUCCGGAAUUAUUGGGCGUAAAGCGCGCGCAGGUGGUUUCUUAAGUCUGAUGUGAAAAGCCCCCGGCUCAACCGUGGAGGGUCAUUGGAAACUUGGGAAAA